rnacentral:rRNA from 1 species
GAUGAACGCUGGCGGCGUGCCUAAUACAUGCAAGUCGAGCGAACAGACGAGGAGCUUGCUCCUCUGACGUUAGCGGCGGACGGGUGAGUAACACGUGGAUAACCUACCUAUAAGACUGGGAUAACUUCGGGAAACCGGAGCUAAUACCGGAUAACAUGUUGAACCGCAUGGUUCAACAGUGAAAGACGGUCUUGCUGUCACUUAUAGAUUGAUCCGCGCCGCAUUAGCUAGUUGGUAAGGUAACUGCUUACCAAGGCAACGAUGCGUAUCCGACCUGAGAGGGUCAUCGGCCACACUGGAACUGAGACACGGUCCAGACUCCUACGGGAGGCAGCAGUAGGGAACCUUCCGCAAUGGGCGAAAGCCUGACGGAGCAACGCCGCGUGAGUGAUGAAGGUCUUCGGAUCUUAAAACUCUGUUAUUAGGGAAGAAAAAAUGUGUAAGUAACUAUGCACGUCUUGACGGUACCUAAUCAGAAAGCCACGGCUAACUACGUG